rnacentral:lncRNA from 1 species
AGCCUGGUGACGAAUUCGCCAAAAAGGAUCCCAGCAUUCAGAAAACCCAUCUUCUUGGGUGAAACCUCCGGGAAAAUGGCCUUUUAGGAGCUGGGAUCUGCUUCCAGUUCUGAGAUGAGGGUUUUCCCUUUGGACCUCGGAAGACACGCAGGCUUCACCAUCAAACGCCCGAACAGAAACAACAAUGGAGACAAGGAGGUCCUGGUGAGUCCACGCUGGGCUCUGCGGGCCACUCACUCCCUGGGUGUGGCCCGUGCAUGAAGCGCCUGACCUGAUGUCCACACCGCACAGGGCCUGGUGCGGGGCCCCCUCCUCCCCUCACCCCUUCCGCAGGACGGGAAGAGGAGACAGCGAAGUCGAUGGGCCCGUGGCUGCAGGGUGGUGGACGGUGAAGCUCUAGCACUUUCUGUCCACGGUCUUGGCUCCAAACACUGCACUCUAUCAAACAGCCCAUGGGGCCAGAGAUGCGGGGCCUGUCCUCUUCGGAGCGACAACCCCCACGUGGCUAUUUAAAUGUAAAGUAAAAAUUCAGUCCCUUGACUCGACUGCCCACAGGGCCAGUGCCUCAGACAACCUGUGUCGAGAGGCGUCCACUGGGGUGCCACCCACCAGAAGUUCUCCAGGACAGCGCCCAGGACGCCCAGCAGCCCCCGGUCAGCGGGAAGCUCGGCUUUGCAGGCAGUGGGGCGAUGAGACGAAGAUAAACAGCAAACCAUCUUCACAGCUUGUCUCCCAAAUGGACCUGGGUCCGUGUCAAGUGCUGGUUCCCUGGUUUCUCAACAACUCCAAGGCCACCAAGCGCAGAGGAGCUGCAGUGGAGACUCUGGACCAGCAGUGUCCAAUUUUGGGGAAAAGAAUGAAUAUUAUCACCUGAAAGAGACCAAUGUGAUGUCAGCCUGAGAAAAGCACAUGGGGUUUCAGCCAUCUCUGCAUGUCUCCUGCCCCAGGAGAACGCUCAUGCCCUUGAGACAAGCUCUGAUCGCAACCAAGAGACCUCCAUCCCACCCCUCACUGACCCGCCUCAGCCUCCACCACAGGGCCACUGCUCGUACCAGCAAAUGUCAUGUUAAUCGAGGUGCUCCUAAAGGACCGGACUUGUUCCUCUGCUGUCAUCAAUGCCUCAUCUUUCACACAGGAAGGGAUUAAAAAUUGAGCCUUUUUUUUUACUACGGUUUUGCUGCUUGUUUACGUUAUAUUUCUCUGAGGUAAUAGAAUCGGACAAAUCGUAUCAUCUGCCGACAGUUUAAUUUCAGGACUGUGUAACACGACAUGCGUGAGUGAGAAUGUUUAUCCCCUUGCUUUCUGCACUCCCUAAAUUUUGUUUCCAUUUUUAAAAAUUUGUGACAAUAUAUUAUUCCUGGAGGUUUUGUAAACCAUGUCCUUCAAGCAAAUAAAUGUAAAUUUCAC